AGGCGCCAAGGGGAGGAGAGGGUAAUCGCGAAGUCUCCCCAGGGGAGAAACCGAGGGGCUGAGAGAACCAGAUCGACGAGGGCCAAGGCCCAGCAGGAUGCCUGAAGAAGCCGAUUCUCCUGCCCAGGGUACCUGAGGUUCGAAGGAUGCUUCGUGCAGGCUCGCUUUGUGUCUCACCCGCCAGACCUAGGAAGCCAGACCUAAGCAGGCAGUGGACACAGGUGGCCAAUGGCUGGGCCCGUCCAGCCCCCGUCCUGCCCUCGUCCCGAAGUUUCCUGGGAUUGGCUGCCUGCCCCGCGGCCCUCCUCCCAGCCCCGCCCUCGCCCAGAGUCUUCCCUGCGCCGAAAGUGCAGGUAUGUUCCUAGUCUUGAGCGGGAGAAAAUUACCCAGCUCGGAGCACCUGGCCAGUGGGACCGGUGGGUUCCUGGUGCCUGAAUCCGGCUGUGCGCUCUGCGGUGCCCCGCCCCGCCCCAACCCAGGAUCUUCCCAGCCCCGCUCCGCCCCAACCCAGGAUCUUCCCAGCCCUCGUGUGUCACUGCUCACUUCAGUUCCCGCCGCGCUUUCUUCUUGGUCUUCUGGCCUGGCGGCGAUAGUCGGCCAGUUUGUCCCUCGGAGUUGCACGGCAGACACGCCGCUACUUUGUAGCGGGUUUCGGGCGGGCCACGCGUGCGGCGACAGGAACCCAACCCCGGCCGACCUUGGGCUCCAGGAAUUCGUCGUCUACGUCUGCGGAGGUGCGGCAGCCUCAGUUUUAAGCUCAGGUAUGUUCCUACCCUUGAGCGGGAGGAAAUUACCCAGCCCUGAGCACGUGGCCAGUGGGACCGGAGGGUUUCUGGUGUCUGAAUCCUGCUCGCCUAACAGGAAGGCAAUAGAGACUGUGCUCUGAACCUUUCCCUCACGAUGGUUUUCU
rnacentral:lncRNA from 1 species